ensembl:lncRNA
UCUGAAGACCAGCCAGAGCAAGGAAGAACAGGAGGGCAGGGGCUAAGGAGAGAGGGAAGAGAAGAUCCAAAUCUAAUUGCAUUGGCCUUCAGCCUCACUAGGGCUCCAUGCUCCCAGAGGUGGUGAUACACUUGUAUUCAGCAGCCGUCACUGAUCUUGCUUGUAAAAGUCCUAUUUCGACAUGGGCGUGCUUUCCUGAGGUUUGAGUCUCUGGAAUUACCCUAAUUUUCCUCUGGAUUUUGCAGUUAUGGAGAUCUGAGAACACCCCACUGGCUGGAAUGAUGCCUCCCAUGCAAAGGAGUGUUAACUAAUUUAGUUUUCCCAGUUGGAAUACCACAACCUAAACAUAUGGAUUUAUCUUGAAACCAGGAAGCCUGACAUACACUGCUGCCAAAACAAAGGAGAAAAUGCAACGUUUUGUCCUGUAAUGAGACAGCAAAGAAGCGCGGGUCCAGAAGGUAUCCAUCCUGAUCAUUUCAAGGUGGCAGGGCCUGGGCCCAGGGGAGCAGGCAGCUCCCUGCAAGUUCUCCUGAAUAUUCCGUUCUGUAUUUCUCCGUAUCUCCUUCGACAGCAUCUCUACUGCAUCUCUUAAUGGACCAAAUGUUUGUGUCCCCCAAAAUGUCUAUGUUGAAGCCCUAACCUCGACGUGACUGUAUUUGGAGGUAGGGCUUUUAUGGAAAUAAUUAGGGUUAAAUGAACUCAUAAGGGUGGGGCUCUGAUCCAAUAGGAUUAGUAUUCUUAUAAAAAAGGCACCAUCAGAGAGCUCUCUCCCUCUCUUAUGCUUUCUUUUUCUCUCGCUCUCUGACUGUGCACACACAAGAAGAGAUCGCACGAGCACACAGCGAGAUGGCGGCCACCUGUAGGCCAAGAAACGAGGCCUUAGAGUGAAACCUACUUUGCUGGCACCUUGAUCUUGGACUUUACAGCCUCCAGAACUGUGAAAAAGUAAAUCUCUGCUCUUCAGCCAUCCUGUCAAUGGCAUCUUGUUAUGGCAGCCCAAGCAGACCCAGACAAUCUCCUAGCAAUGCUUUCCUAGGAACACUGUGACAAUUGCUGGUGUCCCUCAACCCCUCCUCAGGGUCCCAGCAUGUGUGUAUGACUGGGCAGAUCUCGGCGGGCACCUCUAAGGGGCCUGGCCCACCACAGCUUAGGCACAGCCACAUCCAGGCACUCAAAAGAUGUCACUGGAAAUCUGUUUCCUACCCUGUUUCCACUCUGAUCAUUUAUCUGCUGGCCUCACUCUGAGGAGUUACAACAAAUGUCUUGGAAUGCACAUCAAUAGCAGGUUAAACAAUGGUGGCGCUUCUGUGCAAUGGGACACCGUGGUGGCGUAAAAGGAGAGAAGCAGCUUUACGUGGACUGAUGUGGAAAGGUGCCCACUAUUGAGCCAAGUUGAAAAAAAGAAGGCAAAGUGAAAGCAGCAUUAUGUAUGUUCUUAUUUCAAUUUAUAUAUGCUAUAAAGAUCUAUAAUAGCCUGCACUGAAAAAAUAUCUGGACAAAUAGAAACCAAGCAGUGUUUAUCUCUGGGGUUAUAGGGACUUUUACUGUUUUAUGGCAUACACUUCGUAAUUUUUAUUAUGGCCAUGUGUUACUUUUAUUAUCAGAGAUAACAAUAAUGAUUUUUACAAUAAGAAAAAAACUAUUGAUCAGAAAAAAGUGCCACACACUCAUUCUUAAAAACAACUGACAUGAGAACUUGUGAUGUUACUCUGAAAAAUUGGGGUGUUUCUCUGAACAGAUUUGCACACCAGGGACUAAAUUUUGGGAAGAGAAAGUUCUUUACUGUAUAUUCUAACUUGUCAUGCAAUGACACUGUGCAUCAUUAAAACGCAUUUUUUCCUUUCAAAAAUUAAGCAGUAGCCUAAUAGCUUAUUUCCUAAGAUUUUAACUAGAAAAGCCCACAAGUUGUUUUAAGAUGCUGACAUGAACACCAUUUAGAAAGUGACAAGCCUCUCUAUAUGAUACAUUAAUGAGAAGAAGGAGGAGGGGUGUGAGAGGAGAAGGAAGAGCAUUUGGAAGCUCUAUUCAGGAAGUGGUAUUCCGUUUCACCUCCAUUGUUAGAAACGCACUCUGCAAGCCUUAAACUAGAAGGCAGUGCUUGGAAGUUCUUUUAUACUCUUCUUCUCUACAGGCACACCUCGGAUAUAUUGCAGGUUCAGUUCCAGACCACCGCAAUAAA